UAUGAACUAACCAGUACUCCACAGA
rnacentral:misc_RNA from 1 species